UGAGACAGGUGCUGCAUGGCUGUCGUCAGCUCGUGUUGUGAAAUGUUGGGUUAAGUCCCGCAACGAGCGCAACCCUUAUCCUUUGUUGCCAGCGGUCCGGCCGGGAACUCAAAGGAGACUGCCAGUGAUAAACUGGAGGAAGGUGGGGAUGACGUCAAGUCAUCAUGGCCCUUACGAGUAGGGCUACACACGUGCUACAAUGGCAUAUACAAAGAGAAGCGACCUCGCGAGAGCAAGCGGACCUCAUAAAGUAUGUCGUAGUCCGGAUUGGAGUCUGCAACUCGACUCCAUGAAGUCGGAAUCGCUAGUAAUCGUGGAUCAGAAUGCCACGGUGAAUACGUUCCCGGGCCUUGUACACACCGCCCGUCACACCAUGGGAGUGGGUUGCAAAAGAAGUAGGUAGCUUAACCUUCGGGAGGGCGCUUACCACUUUGUGAUUCAUGACUGGGGUGAAGUCGUAACAAGGUAACCGUAGGGGAACCUGCGGUUGGAUCACCUCCUUA
rnacentral:rRNA from 3 species